GAUGAACGCUGGCGGCGUGCCUAAUACAUGCAAGUCGAGCGAACGGACGAGAAGCUUGCUUCUCUGAUGUUAGCGGCGGACGGGUGAGUAACACGUGGAUAACCUCCCUAUAAGACUGGGAUAACUUCGGGAGACCGGAGCUUAUACCGUAUAAUAUUUUGAACCGCAUGGUUGAAAAGUGAAAGACGGUCUUGCUGGCACUAAUAGAUGGAUCCGCGCUUCAUUAGCUAGUUGGUAAGGUAACGGGCUACCAAGGGGACGAUGCAUAGCCGACCUGAGAGGGUGAUCGGCCGCCCGGGAACUUGGCCACGCUCCAGGCUCCUGCGGGAGGCAGCAGUAGGCAAUCUUCCGCAGUGGGCGAAAACAUGACGGAGCGGCGCGGCGUGAGUGAUAGCGGUGUUAGGAUCGUAAAGCUGUGUUAUUAGUGAUAAACAUAUGUGUAAGUAGCUGAGCACAUCUUGACGGUAACUAGUCAGAAAGCCCCGGCUAACUACGUG
rnacentral:rRNA from 1 species